rnacentral:tRNA from 1 species
GCGGGAUUAGCUCAGCUGGAUAGAGUAGUAGGCUUCGAACCUAUUGGUCGGGCGUUCGAAUCGCUCAUCCCGCGCCA